rnacentral:rRNA from 1 species
GCAGCCGCGGUAAUACGUAGGUGGCGAGCGUUAUCCGGAUUUACUGGGUGUAAAGGGUGUGUAGGCGGGGAGGCAAGUCAGAGGUGAAAUACAUGGGCUCAACCCAUGAACUGCCUUUGAAACUGUUUCUCUUGAGUGUGGGAGAGGUAAACGGAAUUCCUGGUGUAGUAGUGAAAUGCGUAGAUAUCAGGAGGAACACCGGUGGCGAAGGCGGUUUACUGGACCAUAACUGACGCUGAGACACGAAAGCGUGGGGAGCAAACAGGAUUAGAUACCCC